GGGUCAGUAGGUUGGUCGUGCCACCGGUACGUACUGGUCUCACUGAUUCCUCCUUCCUGAAGAACCGUAAUGCCGUUAAUUUGGUGUUGCGGGGAAACAGGACUGUUACUUUGAAAAAAUUAGAGUGUUUAAAGCAAGCUAACGCUUGAAUGCAUUAGCAUGGAAUAAUGAAAUAGGACGAUCGAUCCUAUUUUGUUGGUUUCUAGGAUUGACGUA
rnacentral:rRNA from 1 species